rnacentral:lncRNA from 1 species
AAUUCUUUCAGAUGCUGAGCAGAGGGAGGGAGGCGGUACAGAAACAGGACGUGCUCUGGGCCGCCGGGGAGAUGGAGGGCACAGGGAACGCGGCGGCCUGAGAUCACGAGGGGACGCAAAGGAACAGGAGUAACUUUUUAAGGAACACACCGAGCAGAUGGAGGUGUUAUGCCUGGGCCACUUGUAAAUCACCUAUUAAAUGUUGUGCUUAAAGAUAAUCAUAAAGGGCCUGGUGGAAGCAGGGAGAAUCAGAUGUGGUUUGGAUUCCAGCUUCUUAACCCACUAUCGCUCGGGUGACCCCGUUAUCUCCUGGAACCUCAGUUUCCUCAUCUGUGAAACUAAGAAGAAAGAACACAAAGGAUCCGUGUCUGGAAUGAGAGUAGACAUGGCUAGAGAUUCUGCAGACAUCAAACGAGGAAGGGAAUGUUAUAAACAACUUUAUGCCAGUACAGUGAAUGUUUAGAUACAAAAAGUUCUCUGAAAGGCAAAAGCAGCAAAAAUGGAUUCAAGGGGGAAAAGAAUAUUUUAAUGCCUUUAAUCCCUGAAAGAAGUUUAAAAAAAAAAAAUCUGAUUCUGAGCCCUGUUUCUGGCACAUGGUAGGUAGGUGUCUAACACACACAGCCGUUAUCAUGCACUUAUUCCAAACAAUGAUGUCAAUAUUUCAUCAUCUUCAGAAACACCUUACAUUAUAAGGGGAAAAAAAAUCUGUUUCACCAUUAAACUCUCCUAUACCUACUUCCACCCCCACUAGCAUCCAAAGACAUCAUCUACUUUAUCUCAUCAUCUACUUUAUCUAUUAGGCUCGAUACAAAAGACUUUCACUUGUUACUAAAAAUAUGCUGCUCACUUGCCUUGGAAGAGGAUGCCCAGAGGAAUGUACUGCAGCUUUAGACUGCUUGGCAAUAUCCCAGGAGAACAGAACACGCCCCCAGACUCGGGUCCUGGUCCUCUCCAUUCCUCAUGAAGAGCUGUCUGAUGGAUUCUUCAUUUCCCCUGUCACCGUGGCAGGGGCACAGGGCUCAGGAUUUUCAUACAUUUGUUCAUUCACGCCUGCGUUUAUCCUGAACUUCCCAGCAAUGUGGAGUCAGAAGACCUGGGCCUGGAUGCGGCCCCUGCCACCAACCCACCGUGUCACUUUCGUCAGGUCUCAGCUGCACCCCGGGCUCAGUUUGUUCCUGUGCCGAAGCGGAGGUGGGGGUGGUGGACCUGGUGGACACACUCCUCGCCUCCAUCAGAAAGGCCUUGGGAGCGCCGUCCAGGCGGGGUCCAGGUGGGCUCCAGGACGCCCGACUUCAGGCUGGAGCGAAACUUGA